rnacentral:rRNA from 1 species
UUAAGUCUGAUUCUUCGGAUGAAGGCUUUUGUGACUGAGCGGCGGACGGGUGAGUAACGCGUGGGCAACCUGCCUUACACAGGGGGAUAACAGUUAGAAAUGACUGCUAAUACCGCAUAAGACCACAAAACUGCAUGGUUUUGUGGUAAAAACUCCGGUGGUGUAAGAUGGGCCCGCGUCUGAUUAGGUAGUUGGUGGGGUAACGGCUCACCAAGCCGACGAUCAGUAGCCGACCUGAGAGGGUGACCGGCCACAUUGGGACUGAGACACGGCCCAGACUCCUACGGGAGGAAGCAGUGGGGAAUAUUGCACAAUGGGGGAAACCCUGAUGCAGCGACGCCGCGUGAGCGAUGAAGUAUUUCGGUAUGUAAAGCUCUAUCAGCAGGGAAGAAAAUGACGGUACCUGACUAAGAAGCCCCGGCUAACUACGUGCCAGCAGCCGCGGUAAUACGUAGGGGGCAAGCGUUAUCCGGAUUUACUGGGUGUAAAGGGAGCGUAGACGGCUUUGCAAGCCAGAUGUGAAAGCCCGGGGCUCAACCCCGGGACUGCAUUUGGAACUGUGUGGCUAGAGUGUCGGAGAGGCAGGCGGAAUUCCUAGUGUAGCGGUGAAAUGCGUAGAUAUUAGGAGGAACACCAGUGGCGAAGGCGGCCUGCUGGACGAUGACUGACGUUGAGGCUCGAAAGCGUGGGGGGCAAACAGGAUUAGAUACCCUGGUAGUCCACGCCGUAAACG